UACGGAGGGUGCAAGCGUUGUUCGGAAUCACUGGGCGUAAAGCGCGUGUAGGCGGCUAUUUAAGUCUGAUGUGAAAGCCCUGGGCUCAACUCAGGAAGUGCAUUGGAUACUGGAUAGCUGGAGUACCGGAGAGGAGGGUGGAAUUCCUGGUGUAGCGGUGAAAUGCGUAGAUAUCAGGAGGAACACCGGUGGCGAAGGCGUCCCUCUGGCCGGAUACUGACGCUGAGACGCGAAAGCGUGGGGAGCAAACAGG
rnacentral:rRNA from 1 species